UGGGGAAUAUUGCACAAUGGGGGAAACCCGUGAUGCAGCGACGCCGCGUGGGUGAAGAAGUACUUCGGUACGUAAAGCCCUAUCAGCAGGGAAGAAAAUGACGGUACCUGAUUAAGAAGCCCCGGCUAACUACGUGCC
rnacentral:rRNA from 1 species